CUUGUCAAAAGCUUUGGAAUGAUAGCGUUGGUUUGUAAUUUUAGAGGGUUUCUGUCGAGGAUACAGUACUCUCGUCCGUAUGAACAUAAGUGAACAUCUUUCCUCUUGAGUUGUAAUUACAAGUGUAACUACAAAUACGAUUCGGCACAUGCACAUUAGUGUUUGCGUGUUUUAUUGCAAAACUCCGUAUUCCACAUUUAGGUGGUAUUCACUUUUCGUUUCUUCUCUGUUAGUGAUUUGUUGAAAAAGAUUCUAAGCAGUUAUGUUAGGAAGAGGCAUAACAAAAAUUGGAACAAACUUUUUAUUGGUUGCUGUCUUUUGGCGUUUGGUUUUGCUAAGUAGACAUCAAACAUACAGAUCAGUUUCAUGCAGCUGUCGAGAUAAUCGCAUAACUGACGUAAGGCUCAGAAAAAAAAUAAUCCGUCAGUACUUCAUAGUAUUUAGAGUGUGUCACUGGAGAAGAGUUCAGAAAAAUUGUCAUCUUAACGAACACUGCACUUUUAGUGAUAAAUUUCCCUGACAGAAAAGAAAAUUGCAGCCGGAUUCACCGUUUAAUAAUUAACAGAACAAACUAUUUGUCGUAUAUUCGGUAAUAAACCAUUGAUCAAGUGGUCGAGUUCACCUAAAUUGAGCCCGGAGUGAUUAUGUAUUCUGUAAGUUCAUUGGCCCUGCAGCUGUGCGAUGCGACUACCUAUAUUCUUCUACUAUAGUUUUGAAGUUUGUUUUGGUUGCAGCGAAUUCAAAUUUAAUUAACAGAUCGUCUGGUAAUCAGCUGAGCUGGAAGGGCGACCUUAUACUUGGAUCAUGCGGCAAAUGAAAAUAGAGAGAGAAGAUGUGUGCUUUGUUUAUACUUUUUCGUUCGAGGCUGCUCAUAGCUGAUCUGAUCUUAAUCUCUUAAUCCAGCUUUGCUGUUACAACGUGUAAUUUCAGAGAAAGUACUUUCAACGAGGGAACGCAAAGAAGAUGAAACGUAACGACGAAUUCUUUGUUUUGAUUCUGCACAGAAGCAAAACCUAGAUAAAAGAAUUGCUUUUGUAACAAUAAUAAAACAAUAAGAAGAGUGACCA